rnacentral:rRNA from 1 species
CGCCUGUUUAUCAAAAACAUGUCUAUAUGAAGAUUUAUAUAGUCUGUCCUGCCCACUGGUGAUAUCUAAAUGGCUGCGGUAUUUUGACUGUACAAAGGUAGCAUAAUAAUUAGGUUUUUAAAUGGAAUCUGGAAUGAAAGGAUUGACAAAAAGAAGACUGUCUUUAUUAUAAUAAUGGAAUUUAACUUUAAGGUGAAAAGGCCUUAAUAAAUUAAGGGGAAGAUAAGACCCUAUAAAACUUUAUAACUUUUUUUAUUAAAAAUUGUUAGUUUUUAAAUAAAAGUUAUUUUACUGGGGCGGUAUAUUAUAAUUUAAAUUAACUAAUAAUAAUUUUUAUCAUUGAUAAAUGAAAUUAUUUGAUCCUAAAAAAGAUUAAAAAAUUAAGUUACUUUAGGGAUAACAGCAUAAUUUUUUUGGAGAGUUCUUAUUAAAAAAAAAGAUUGUGACCUCGAUGUUGAAUUAAAAAUUACUUUAUAAAGCAUUAACCUAGGUAGUC